ensembl:lncRNA novel transcript
GGACAAGAAGGGUGACACCCACAGGGGCGGGAGCCCCAGGCUGGGUCAUGGAGCUCACACUAGGCCUGAACGUGUGCUGCACAUCUUGGCCAGAACAGACAACAGGGGCUAGAACAUCGGGAUUGGCGUGAAAUUCUGCAUCUGUCUUCUCGCUUGACCCUUGCAGUGGCUCGUGGGACUGGAUGGAACCCACUGACAGCUGGAGGCUGGAGGCAGCUCUUGGGACACUUCCCUGGCUUGGGCAGGCGUGGGAAGCCAGCACCCUGGGGUAUCAGCCAGGCCUCUGGCCAUAAGCAGCAGAUGGCUCUGAGAGGUGCCGAGCACGGAGCAUGAGUCUGCGCUGAUGUCAGCCUCCCAAAGUGUCUUGGCUGGGCCUCGAGGCCACCUCCACCCCCAGCAGUGCUGAGAAGCCCAAGGCCCGAGACUGACAAGCGUUUCCGGGGCUGGUACAUCCUGGGCUGGCUCCGAGGAGGGGUGGCUUCGGGCUGGGGCUGUUACCCUUAUCCAGGGACUAGAGCGAGGGCUGGAAAGUGCCCUUCCCUCCCCUCCAGGGGAAAAGACAACCCUGACAUGGGGGUCGAUGCCCCUUCCUCCAGGAAGCCCUCCUGGCCCUGGGUGGCCCCCUCUGUACCUGCGCCCCAUUACUAUGUAGUUGUUGGUUCUGAGCUGGGCUUUUGGUGAGGGGAGGACAGGGCUGUGUCCAAGCUGGCACUUGGAUGCCACUCUGCACGAGGCCUGUGCUAAGUCCUUUCCCAAGGGCUGGGUGCUGUGACCCUCCUGGGGAGGCGGGGAGCCCCUGGGAGGUUGGAUGCCUUGUCCAGGCAGCCUGGCUCCAGCCCUGUAUCCUGCUCAUGCUUUGUCCUAGCAUUCAGCAGUGUGCCUGGCACUUUGUGUGGCCUCAGCAGGUAGCUCCUGAAUAAAGGAAUGUGUGCCCACCUCA